UUGUACCAAGUGUCCGGUGUGUUGUACCGAGUGUCCGGUGUGUUGUACCGAGUGUCCGGUGUGUUGUACCAAGUGUCCGGUGUGUUGUACCAAGUGUCCGGUGUGUUGUACCGAGUGUCCGGUGUGUUGUACCGAGUGUCCGGUGUGUUGUACCAAGUGUCCGGUGUGUUGUACCAAGUGUCCGGUGUGUUGUACCAAGUGUCCGGUGUGUUGUACCAAGUGUCCGAGGGAAAGGAAUUUGGGAUAAAUAUUGUGGUUCCCUGGGGAUUACCCAAUGCCUUUAAAUCCCUGUGGUAUAGGUCCUCUGGCUUUUGUCACCUGGAAGGCAGAGAUCGGCUCAACUUUUCUGACUUAAAAGGCGUGAUUGAAGUUUGUGUUCAGGUUGUCUACCGCAUGAGAACUGGUCCCCUUGGUGUCAUACAUUGUUGUAUUCCUCAGGGCAAGAAGGAUGUAUUUAUAACCAAAGUUUUUCAAAGGAAUUCAAGACAGCAAUUAAUAUUGCCAUUACAAAAUGUUAAAUUUGUGAUCAAUUAACAUUUUCUUCAAUGUGUGAUUACAGUACAUCCUUCUUUCAAUGCCAAACCCUCCAGAUUUACAGACUUCUGAUCUGACCAGUUCUAAUCCAAGUGCUUUCAUGAUCUGUGUGCUUGCUUUGUAACUCUUCAAAAUACACCAUUGGCAUGGAAAUGAAAUCUAAUUUUAGAUAUGUUGACCUAGGUGGCAAUGUUAUUGGGUGGAGGAUUUUUUCUUUUAAAAUGUUUAAGAAAAGUUCAGAAUGCUCUGUGAUGUUUCAGUAUAUGUUUAUAUUGUCAGUCCUACAUAGUGUUGGCUUUUUUACCGUAUGUAGCUGCACAGAUGUACAUAAAUAUAAAUCAAAUUACACAAUUAAUUAGUUAAAUUAGGUCAAUAAGAAACAUUUAGGUCCUUUCGCUCAUGUCUGAGCUUAGUGGGACUGUUAGGAACCAUUUAGUGCCUAACAAUCCCACUAAGCUAAUUCUGCUAAUUCAGACAAUGACAUGGGGACGCUAUGUCAAUUCAGACAAUGACAUGCAGCCUUAACAUGGGUAUAAAACUGCUCUUGCAGUCAUCCCAGUUGUUAGCAACAGAACAGGUCAGGGUUUCCCAAGUUUGGAGACAAAGACCAUUUAAUAUAAUAAACAGC
ensembl:lncRNA